CCAAGAAGUAUUAGACGUUGCUGAUCGUCAAGACGGUGAUAAGCGCCGUACACCGAACGGCAGGCCUCAAGAGACGAUUAACGUUAACCUGCGCGCAUAACCUUGCGGCAAAGCGGCAAACAAAAGUAUUAAAAGUGUCUUACGGAGCAUGUGAGCAAUGAAAUUACCCAUUUAUUUGGACUAUUC
rnacentral:sRNA from 1 species